CCGCGUGGAGGAUGACGCAUUUAGGUGUGUAAACUCCUUUUAUAUGCCAAGAUAAUGACGGUAGUAUAUGAAUAAGCACCGGCUAACUCCGUGCCAGCAGCCGCGGUAAUACGGAGGGUGCAAGCGUUACUCGGAAUCACUGGGCGUAAAGGGUGCGUAGGCUGUUAGACAAGUCAGGGGUGAAAUCCUACAGGCUCAACUGUAGAACUGCUCUUGAAACUGUUUAACUAGAAUAUGGGAGAGGCAGAUGGAAUUAGUGGUGUUAGGGUAAAAUCCGUAGAGAUCACUAGGAAUACCGAUGGCGAAGGCGAUCUGCUGGAACAAGAUUGACGCUGAGGCACGAAAGCGUGGGCAGCAAACAGGAUUAGAUACCCUGGUAGUCCACGCCGUAAACGAUGUACAUUAGUUGUUGGUGUGCUAGACACAACAGUAAUGCAGUUAACACAUUAAAUGUACCGCCUGGGGAGUACGGUCGCAAGAUUAAAACUCAAAGGAAUAGACGGGGACCCACACAAGCGGUGGAGCAUGUGGUUUAAUUCGAAGAUACGCGAAGAACCUUACCUGGCCUUGACAUCCUUAGAAUCUUAUCAGAGAUAUGAGAGUGUUAGUUUACUAGAGCUUAGAGACAGGUGCUGCACGGCUGUCGUCAGCUCGUGUCGUGAGAUGUUGGGUCAAGUCCGCAA
rnacentral:rRNA from 1 species